GAUUCCCCUAGUAGCGGCGAGCGAAGCGGGAAGAGCUCAAAUUUAUAAUCUGGCACCUUCGGUGUCCGAGUUGUAAUCUCUAGAAAUGUUUUCCGCGUUGGACCGCACACAAGUCUGUUGGAAUACAGCGGCAUAGUGGUGAGACCCCCGUAUAUGGUGCGGACGCCCAGCGCUUUGUGAUACAUUUUCGAAGAGUCGAGUUGUUUGGGAAUGCAGCUCAAAUUGGGUGGUAAAUUCCAUCUAAAGCUAAAUAUUGGCGAGAGACCGAUAGCGAACAAGUACCGUGAGGGAAAGAUGAAAAGCACUUUGGAAAGAGAGUUAACAGUACGUGAAAUUGUUGGAAGGGAAACGCUUGAAGUCAGACUUGCUUGCUGAGCAAUCGGUUUGCAGGCCAGCAUCACUUUUCCGGGAUGGAUAAUGGUAGAGAGAAGGUAGCAGUUUCGGCUGUGUUAUAGCUCUCUGCUGGAUACAUCUUGGGGGACUGAGGAACGCAGUGUGCCUUUGGCGGGGGUUUCGACCUCCUCACAC
rnacentral:rRNA from 1 species